CGAGGGUGCAAGCGUUAAUCGGAAUUACUGGGCGUAAAGCGAGUGUAGGCGGUUACCUAAGUCGGAUGUGAAAUCCCCGGGCUCAACCUGGGAAUUGCAUUCGAUACUGGGUAGCUAGAGUUUGGUAGAGGUAAGUGGAAUUCCGGGUGUAGCGGUGAAAUGCGUAGAGAUCUGGAGGAACAUCAGUGGCGAAGGCGGCUUCCUGGAUCAAAACUGACGCUGAGGCUCGAAAGCGUGGGGAGCAAACAGGAUUAGAUACCCGAGUAGUCC
rnacentral:rRNA from 1 species